GAAUAGCAGAAUCAUUAUCUGAAAAUAAUUCAACAACAUGGCUUAUAACUAUGUUAAACGGAUGAUGCGCUAGAAAAGGGAACAUUGAAAGGCAGAACUUGUUCCAGAACAAUUAUUGCUUCAGGUGUGAUGACGUUGCAUGUACCCUACAUGAAACGGGAAAUUAAACUAUUCUUGGUCUUAUGUAGAACAAGAUGUUCGAACUCUACUAAUAGCAAGAUGAAAAAAUCCCACAGCGCAGAUACGGUGCAAAAAUGUCGUUAUUCUCGAAUAAAGGAUAAUUUCUAAG